rnacentral:rRNA from 1 species
CUUUUUGAGAAUAAUUUAAAGUCUGGCCUGCCCAAUGAGUAGUUUAAUGGCCGCGGUAUUUUAACCGUGCAAAGGUAGCAUAAUCAUUAGUUUCUUAAUUGGGAGCUUGUAUGAAGGGUUGAAUGAAAAAAUAGCUGUCUCUAUUUAAAUUAGUUAAAAUUUUAUUUUUAAGUCAAAAAGCUUAAAUAAUUAUUGAAGACGAGAAGACCCUAUAGAGUUUGAUAUUGGCAUUAUUUUGAUUCUUUGGGAUUUAAAGAUUUUUAUUAAUUCAGUAUUUUAUUGGGGUGAUUGAAAAAUUAAUUGAACUUUUUCUUUAUAUAAUCAUUAAUUUAUGAAUAAUUGAUCCUUAAAAAAGAUUAUAAGAUAAAAUUACCUUAGGGAUAACAGCGUAAUUUUUUUUUAGAGUUCUAAUCGAAAAAAAAGAUUGCGACCUCGAUGUUGGAUUAAAAUGAAAUUCUGGUGUAGCAGCUAGG